rnacentral:rRNA from 1 species
CCCUUAGAUGUUCUGGGCUGCACGCGUGCUACACUGAUUAUUUCAACAAGUGUUUUAACUGGAGAGUUCGCGUAAUCCUGAAAUGUUAUCGUGAUGGGAGUAGAGUAUUGUAUUUGUUAAUCUUUAACGAGGAAUUCCUAGCAAGUGUAGGUUUAUAAGUUGUUCUGAUUACGUCCCUGCCCUUUGUACACACCGCCCGUCGCUACUACCGAUUGAAUGGUUUAGUGAGAAUUUUGGACUGGAACUCCCUUGCUCAGCAAUGGGCGAGGGGGAGUCCGGGAAGCUAUUCUAACUGUAUCAUUUAGAGGAAGUAAAAGUCGUAACA